rnacentral:rRNA from 1 species
AGCCUAGCGCUAAGGCUUAAUGUGGUUGUCGCAAGGCAAUCGUCAAACACAACAUUAAGCGGUGCAGCGUUACAAACUUCGGUGUUUAGUAGUGUCGAUGUAGUUUGUGGUUCGCUGCAAACUGCUUUUGGCCUAGCGUACGAGUCCCAUUGACUUGGGCUUAUUCUUUAUUGAGAUGUCUACGGGUUUGGGGCAACUUGGAUCCGUGGAUGAGCCAUAGAGGGUGAAAGUCCCCUAAUGCGCAGGUAUUGGCACUACGAACCGGAGCAGUGGCGUCUGGUAAAACAGGCGUUGCGAUUUGUUAGAGUCGGGUUGCUUGAGAGUGCAACCUAAAGAGCGAGGUAAACUGCUCGUAAGGCUAUGUAAAUACGGCUACGACACCGAUAGCAAACAAGUACCGUGAGGGAAAGUUGCAAAGUACUUUGAAGAGAGAGUUAAACAGGGCGUGAAACCGCUAGCUGGAAAACGAGUGGAGCCACGAAGUCGUUUCGUAGAAUACGAGACGCAAAUUCAGCCAAGAUUAACGCAAGUUAGUUUCGGUGUAUUUUUGCUUGUCUCGCUACUGUAAGCGUACACUGCAACCAAUUAGACGGCUAAUCGUGGACUCAGUUUGCGUGUUAACAGGGAAACUUGUUGCGCGUAAGCGAAGUGACUUGUGCACUUUGCCGGUAGGUAGUCUGGUAUGGUCUCUCGUAGGCUUUAUUGGGCGUUUGACGGCAAAUGCGUGAACUACGAUUAGGUACUGAUUGGCGAAAGGAAAAUCGAAUCGCAAGAUUCGUGCGUCCAUAGAACGCUGCUAACCUGGUAUUCGGGUACAAUUGUGCUGUGCUAGUAUUUUGAAGCUUAGUAUUUUCGAAUUCAGGCACGUACAUUGUCAGCAGGCUUGCUUGUUGAUAUGUGCGGUGUAUCCUGUCUAAUCGGGUGCUAACUUUGCUGGCAGUUUGACGCAAUUGCUACGAUAGCAUCGAAUGCGAGAGUUGGUGUGCAAGUAUUGGCAGUGAGUAGGUCGGCUUUCCCACACGACCCGUCUUGAAACACGGACCAAGGAGUCUAGUUAAGUAUCGAGUCGAUCGGUCUUGAUUAGGCCCAGACAUGGUAGUGAAAUAAGCUACCAAAUUUAAAAGCAAUGACGGCACAGUGAAAUCAAAUUAUAUGUGAUCUGAGGUCUAUAACAACGGCCUACAGCGCAACAUAUGCCCACUCGUAUGGUUAUACGCGCAAGUGUUAACCGGGUGGAGCAAAGAGAUACUUGACUGGUACCCGAAAGAUGGUGAACUAUUCCUGGCCAGAUUGAAGCCAGAGGAAACUCUGGUGGAGGAUUGUAGCGAUUCUGACGUGCAAAUCGAUCGUCAGAGCUGGGUAUAGGGGCGAAAGACUAAUCGAACCAUCUAGUAGCUGGUUCCCUCCGAAGUUUCCCUCAGGAUAGCAANCUCUCGCAGAAAUGUGAAUCAGUUUCAUCUGGUAAAGCGAAUGAUUAGAGGCCUUGGGAGCGAAACGCUCUCAACCUAUUCUCAAACUUUAAAUGGGUGAGAUGUACGACGUGCUUAAGUGACGCCGUAUUCACACAGAAUGUAUUGAGAGCUUAGUGGGCCAUUUUUGGUAAGCAGAACUGGCGAUGCGGGAUGAACCGAAAGUGAAGUUAAGGUUGCCGAUAAUGGUGCUAACAAUAUGUGCACUAGCUACACUCAUGAGAUCCCAUGAAAGGUGUAAGUUGCUAAAGACAGCAAGGACGUGGCCAUGGAAGUCGGAAACAUCUAAGGAGUGUGUAACAACUCACUUGCCGAAGCAACUUGCCCUGAAAAUGGAAGCAGCUCGAGUGUUGAACCUAUACUUCACCGUUGAAUCAUCGUUGCUCAUUGCGUAGCGAUAAGUUAUGAUUCAACGUGUAGGAGGGUUGUGUUGGUAGCGUUGAAGGCUAUGAGGGAGUGAUCCUGGCUGGAGCUGCCAAUAGUACAGAUCUUGGUGGUAGUAGCAAAUACUCAAGUGAGACCCUUGAGGGCCAAUGUGGAGAAGGGUUCCAUGCUAACAGCAAUUGGACAUGGGUCAGUCGGUCCUAAGAGAAUGGCGAAAGCUAUUUCUGAAUCAAAGACAGUGUAAACCAAACUAANNNNNNNNNNNNNNNNACAUAUGCAUAUGCGAGUAAAGACGGAACGGAAAAAUAAAGCGUAAAUUAGCAUAAUGAACACUGUAUGACUCGAAAGGGAAUUAGGUUAAUAUUCCUAAACCAAGAUGGGGAGAUUGUUGUGUGUGUGGUUAUUCAUUUAGCUGUGCACGCAACAUUGGCGGUAACGCAAACAAGCACGAUGACGCCGGCGGCAGCCCUGGGAAGAGUUGUCUUUUCUUUGUAAGCUUACUGAGUUUUUCAACGAGACCUUGGAAUCGAAUCAUUCGAAGAUAAGGUCGUAGUAAGCGUAAAACAACACGGUUCUAGUGUUGUCCGGAGCGCUGUCUUUGGCCCUUGAAAAAUCGUGUACGCGGAGUAUGUAUGUGCGGUGUGCGG